UCUGUAUAUCUGAUGAAGGAAAAAGGGCUUUAAAGGUUCAUCAUGAGCGGAAUAAAAAUUUGACAAGGAAUCGAACUGAUCGAAUGUGGGCAUAUUCCAAACACGAAAAAUUUAGUAUGAAAUAGGAUAUUUUACUUCAUAAUGCGAAGGUAGGAUAAAUAUUUUCACAGUAAGAAUAUUCUGACAUUGCUUGGCUACUAUUUUUC